rnacentral:rRNA from 1 species
AUGCCUGAGCCUGAUCCGGUGGCCCAGUUCUUCUCCUUCCCUGGCGGGCGCGCCCUCUCCCCUCCACCUCGUACCGACAUCAUGCAACUGGAGAUCGAGAACGCCAUGAUCGAGGCGCUCACUUCGCCGCUGGCCUUUGAGGACGGCGGCCGUUCACCGCCCCAUGCUUCGACUCGACGUGGGGCCGUUGAUGGCUUCCCGGAAGACGACAUCCUGCCAUGCAUCGCCGACCUCGAUGCCCCACUCAGCAUCCCAUGCAUCUCCACCCCGGCUCCUGCUGCGGUAAGCUUCCAUGUCGCUGCCAUCACCCAGAAGGUCGAUUGCCUCCACCUUGACGCUGGACAGGGAAGCUCCAGUCAGGUGGGUGGGCCGCAGCAGCUGUUCUCCCCCCCCCAUUGGCCAUCCUCGACGCUCCGCCUGCCCGUCCACGCUCAUCAGCUCCCCCGAAAGCGCGGGCCUCUUCUGCUCCUUCUCGCCGAAGCGCGCGUCAGGCCGCGUCCGGCUGCAUCGUGCCUGUGGCUCAGCGCGCGGCGCUGCGCCUCGUCCAAGAACUCGGCGGCCUUGGCCCAAAGGAUCGGAUGA